GCUUAAGGCUUUUCUGGCUACUUUCUAGAACACUCGUGGCUUCACUUGUCCUUCUUCGUUUGACCAUCAAAGAUAAAAUGCAAGAAACUUGAACAUCCUUGGUUGGCUAAGGGUAAUGUUGGACUUUCAGAAAGACAAUGUUAGAAAUCACAUGGAACGGAAGCCUUGCAAAUAGUCAUAUACGACAGGCUCUCUAGGUCUCCGCAUUCAACUCAAAUGUCUAUUGGCUAUCGUGAAGCUUUCCAUUUAGUUAUCGGGAUUGCUUAACAAGGACCCAACAAUCAUGGAACUUCGAAUUGCUUUUUGGGAAAAGG